UGGGGAUUUUUCCGCAAUGGGCGAAAGCCUGACGGAGCAACGCCGCGUGCGGGAUGACGCCUUUCGGGGUGUAAACCGCUUUUGUCAGGGACGAAGGCUGGAGUAAUCCGGUGAGACGGUACCUGGCGAAGAAGGUCCGGCUAACUACGUGCCAGCAGCCGCGGUAAUACGUGGGGACCGAGCGUUGUCCGGAGUUACUGGGCGUAAAGGGCGUGCAGGUGGCUUGGUAAGCUUGGCGUGAAAGCCCCCGGCCCAACCGGGGAGGGUCGUCGAGGACUGUCAGGCUUGAGGGGCGCAGGGGUCGGUGGAAUUCCGGGUGUAGUGGUGAAAUGCGUAGAGAUCCGGAGGAACACCAGUGGCGAAGGCGGCCGACUGGGCGCACCCUGACACUGAGACGCGAAGGCGUGGGGAGCGAAAGGGAUUAGAUACCCCUGUAGUC
rnacentral:rRNA from 1 species